AUUGAACGCUGGCGGCAGGCCUAACACAUGCAAGUCGAGCGGAGCGGCGGACGGGUGCGUGAUGCCUAGGAAUCUGCCUGGUAGUGGGGGAUAACGUCAGGUAACGGGAGCUAAUACCGCAUACUCUCAGAUGAGCCUAGGUCGGAUUAGCUAGUUGGUGGGGGAAAGGUCUACCAAGGCGACGAUCCGUAACUGGUCUGAGAGGAUGAUCAGUCACACUGGAACUGAGACACGGUCCAGACUCCUACGGGAGGCAGCAGUGGGGAAUAUUGGACAAUGGGCGAAAGCCUGAUCCAGCCAUGCCGCGUGUGUGAAGAAGGUCUUCGGAUUGUAAAGCACUUUAAGUUGGGAGGCGUUACCAACAGAAGAAGCACCGGCUAACUUCGUGCCAGCCGCCGCGGUAAUUC
rnacentral:rRNA from 1 species